AGUGAACGCUGGCGGCAGGCCUAACACAUGCAAGUCGAACGGCAGCACGGCAGUAGCAAUACUGUGGGUGGCGAGUGGCGGACGGGUGAGGAAUACAUCGGGAUCUACCCUGUUGUGGGGGGAUAACGUAGGGAAACUUACGCUAAUACCGCAUAAGAACUGAGGUUGAAAGCGGCGGACCGCAAGGCGUCGCGCGAUUGGAUGAACCGAUGUCCGAUUAGCUAGUUGGCGGGGCAAAGGCCCACCAAGGCGACGAUCGGUAGCUGGUCUGAGAGGACGACCAGCCACACUGGAACUGAGACACGGUCCAGACUCCUACGGGAGGCAGCAGUGGGGAAUAUUGGACAAUGGGCGCAAGCCUGAUCCAGCCAUGCCGCGUGGGUGAAGAAGGCCUCGGUGUAAG
rnacentral:rRNA from 1 species